AUUGCAAGUCGAGCGGGAACAGAUGGGGAGCUUGCUCCCUGAUGUUAGCGGCGGACGGGUGAGUAACACGUGGGUAACCUGCCUGUAAGACUGGGAUAACUCCGGGAAACCGGGGCUAAUACCGGAUGGUUGUUUGAACCGCAUGGUUCAAACAUAAAAGGUGGCUUCGGCUACCACUUACAGAUGGACCCGCGGCGCAUUAGCUAGUUGGUGAGGUAACGGCUCACCAAGGCAACGAUGCGUAGCCGACCUGAGAGGGUGAUCGGCCACACUGGGACUGAGACACGGCCCAGACUCCUACGGGAGGCAGCAGUAGGGAAUCUUCCGCAAUGGACGAAAGUCUGACGGAGCAACGCCGCGUGAGUGAUGAAGGUUUUCGGAUCGUAAAGCUCUGUUGUUAGGGAAGAACAAGUACCGUUCGAAUAGGGCGGUACCUUGACGGUACCUAACCAGAAAGCCACGGCUAACUACGUGCCAGCAGCCGCGGUAAUACGUAGGUGGCAAGCGUUGUCCGGAAUUAUUGGGCGUAAAGGGCUCGCAGGCGGUUUCUUAAGUCUGAUGUGAAAGCCCCCGGCUCAACCGGGGAGGGUCAUUGGAAACUGGGGAACUUGAGUGCAGAAGAGGAGAGUGGAAUUCCACGUGUAGCGGUGAAAUGCGUAGAGAUGUGGAGGAACACCAGUGGCGAAGGCGACUCUCUGGUCUGUAACUGACGCUGAGGAGCGAAAGCGUGGGGAGCGAACAGGAUUAGAUACCCUGGUAGUCCACGCCGUAAACGAUGAGUGCUAAGUGUUAGGGGGUUUCCGCCCCUUAGUGCUGCAGCUAACGCAUUAAGCACUCCGCCUGGGGAGUACGGUCGCAAGACUGAAACUCAAAGGAAUUGACGGGGCCCCCCCAAAAGAAAAAAA
rnacentral:rRNA from 1 species